rnacentral:lncRNA from 1 species
GAGGAGUUUGGAAACAGACUGAACUGAGGUGUGAUACGUCUCUGUGCACAACAACGCUGGAGUUUGCUUCGCCUCAGGAACAACCCUGACUCUGGCUGCUACCCCUGAGCCGCUGACCUUUGACCUCGGAGGAGAACAGACAACAACAUCCUCCGCAUGGAGCCAGCUGCCUGUCUCCAGCAUAAUUCAAACUCGGAGGCACUUUUUAUGGCUCCCAAACAGCCGCGAUCAAAGCGAGUUGAGCAAAUAUCGGUUUAAAAAAAAAGUUUAUUUUCUGAAACCUCCUGCUUUUGAUUCAAACCAUCAUUUUUCCAACGAGCGAAAACUAACAAUAACUGUGGGACAGAAGUGAAUCAGCAAACUUUGGUGGUGAAGUAUUGAUAUUUUUAACAAGCUGGAGCCCAGACCCUCCUCUGUGACUGUUGACAUUUUAAAUUAUGUCAAAGCAACACCCAUGAAACCCACCGGAGAGCCCCCUUUCUUUUCCCGCCUCCUUACAUCACGAAAUAUGGAUGCUGGAUGUGCGUCACGUGUACAUCUUUGACGCCGCUUCAGUGUGGGCGACGGCGGCUGUUGACACAUCACCGCCACAGCGUUCAUGACUCAGUGGAGGCUCUCAAUUAGGAGAGUGCAGGUAUAAAUUUUUGUGUAGGUGGACCCAAUAUGGCAGCCACUCCGGGACCCUCGGCUGGGGGAUAAAUCAAUACGAGACUGGUUGAAUUAGAGCGUCAGCGCGCAGCUCUCUUACGCUGACCUCUUUUUCUUCUCUGUCUCUUUUUCAGCCCAUCUCUAUCCGCUAAUUGGGGGGAGGUCAGCCCGUUUAGCUGUCGUCUCUGUCUAUGCGAUCCACUGUGGAUCCUUGUUUCAGUUCAUUGGGGAGAUCAUGAGAAGAAAUGGAGGCUUCCGGACUUCAUUAACGCGCCUUUGUUUGUGGUGUGAUUCACAGACUGUAGAAAGACCAGCUCCCCCUCCUCCCUGUUCACAAGUCUUGACGCUUGUUGAAAUCCUCUCAGGGAAGUCUUGAGGUGUCCUCCUCUGUUUGGGUACCUGCUGCGACCUUUACUCUGCUGUCUCUCCUGGUUUUGACGGCUCUUUAGUCGCACAAGGAGGAGACUUUUGAAACAGUUUCAGAGAAUCAGAGAAAACAGGAAUAAAUAUCUUCCUGUCGUUUAAAAUUCACAGUUUAGGAAACGUCGUUUUCACUCAAGAAGACUCGGACUGAUUCACAGGAUCUCCACGGUUUUCUAAGUUGGCGUGUGGAUCGAGAAAUCUUCAGAAUCACCUCUGCUGUGGGCAGAGUGCUUUUUCAAACAGACUGUGUUUAUGGACUGUGUUUAUAUAACACUUGAUGUUUAUACAGUCUUUUGACCACAGAAAGCGCUUUUAUAUUACACGUCACGGUCAUACACUGAUGGUAGAGUCCGCAGGUUUUAACUCUUUCCGUUCGUUGAUGCUUUGGCUCAAGGACUCUUUGGUAUUUGGAUAUCAGGACCUGAGAUUGAACCCCCAACCUUUUGAGUGAGAAAGUCGCUUCUUAUACCCUCAUGUGUACAGACUUAAUCAAUCAAGUCUUGUGCAGACCACUCCACAAGUAAACUCUCUAUACUGAACAGUUUCACCCCUAGCUUUUUAGCUUUGAUGAAUGUCUACGUCAUAUGGGGGUGGCGGGAGAUGAGCCAGCGCUGUUUUUGGGGCUGGGAGAGAUGCUUAAGCUAGCAUCCAUGAGAGAAUGUGCGGCGUCCACAUCACUACGUAUCGUCUUUUUGAAGAGUGCAGAUAUUUUUUAGUUGGGGUGCUGAACAUUCGGGGACAGUUCCGUUUUUUUUAUUGUUUAUUCGGCGGCAAAAAUAAGAAUUAAAUGGAUACCAUAUUUUUCGCACUGUAAGGCGCACUUAAAAUCCUUUUGGCUUGUCGGAGCUCUGCAGCUAUCGUUUUAUUAAAUGAGUUAAAUAAAGUUUGACUUAUCUGACUGUUUUGUUUGUCUAAAUGCACUUUGUAAUCCAGUGCGCCUUAUAAUCAGGUGCGCCUUAUAGUGCAAAAAUACGGUAUAUUAAUCUACGACUUAAAUUUCUGGGUUGGAAUCUCGUUGGCAGGGCGUCCCUGUAAUCAGAUGUCAUGUCCAGCCCGUCUCAUUGGUCGUUCUUAACCAGACUGUUAAGUCGCUGUUUUUAUUGUUGUAUCACUAAUAAAAGAUGUUUUUGUCACUUUCCAACCCUUCAGUAUCUAGAAUAAGCUCGUAACAGGUCAGUUAUGUUGUUAAGCAGAUAUAAAGGUUGUUUUCUAGUCUCAACUAAAGAUGCAACAAACUUUUAUGAUCAAAAUCUAAACUAAAAUAUCCAUCAUAAUUCGUCUCACAGCUUUUAAAACGCUGAGACCAAAACCAAAAGGAGGAGUGAUACUUCUUUUUACUUUCCUUCUUAUUUUUGUCAUUAAACUUAAAUUUCUUUGACUGCAUGGUUCAAUAGUUUUGGCCCACGUUUCAAAGUCACACUUUUUGGUGUUAUUGAGUCGAAUAUUCUGUGUUUCUGAAAUGAGACAUGGCAGGCAGCUUCCCAGACUUAAUUACCCAGAAACCCUCACACAUGUUGACUUUUGGUGCCCAUAGUGGAAAAAAUAGCGCUGGAAUGGCUUUUGAAGUGCCACGUGUGUGUGCUCGCCGGGCACAUGUGGAGCUUUUUUCUUGCGUGCCUGGCGAUUUUUGGGGCCGAUAUUUACUUAUCGCGUUGACCCCAUGUGUGUCGCAUUUGCCCGGCGUGCCUUCAGCUCAUCGUUGGAAUAACAGACGAAAAAGGAAAACGCCUUGAAAACUUCCACCCUGCCCUGAAGUGGUGCUCUGUGUUCGUCUGCUCAGAUCUGGGCAGCGGACUGAUCCUCCACCCCUGAUUCUUCCUCUGCCCCACUCCCCCUAAACCCACACACACGCACAUACACACCCAGCCCACCUCAUUUACUCCCAUCUCCUAAUGUCAAACAGCUGUAGAGCCGACUCCUGCAGAAAUGCCGCUCUUACGUCCUCCUCCUCGCCCUCCCUCCCCGCUCACUUUUUUCUCCUCUGCCAUUUUGUGUGUGGCCCCAAAUUUCAGGUCACUCUCCUGAGUCCAAACAUCGUGUCUUAACCCGACUCCUCUCCGGGUUUAUUUAUGAUCCGGCUGCUGGAUAUGACAUCAUGAAUUUACAUCGUAGGUGCCCGUGGGCGGAGAUGGAUAGACAGAUGGCGGGCUGUAAAUCGUUGGUAUGGAUCGCGCUCGGCUGCGAUGUUUUGUAGUCGCCUGCUCUCGCUGACAUGUAAAGGUGGGCCGUAACUGGGCCAAUGCCAUUUCCAAAGCACUCCAUCUAACUGAAGGAGCUGCUUGACAUUAAUGCCAGUGAGGUCAUCCUCCGAGUGAUUGACAGGAGAGGAUCAGGCAAUGAUGCUGAGGGUUGAGAGCUCCUGCCGCUGUCGGGAAUCCGCUUCAAAGGAUUGCUUUGGCC